rnacentral:rRNA from 1 species
AUUGAACGCUGGCGGCAUGCUUUACACAUGCAAGUCGAACGGUAGAGGGGGCAACCCCUUGAGAGUGGCGAACGGGUGAGUAAUGCAUCGGAACGUGCCCAGUCGUGGGGGAUAACGCAGCGAAAGCUGUGCUAAUACCGCAUACGAUCUCUGGAUGAAAGCGGGGGACCGAACGGCCUCGCGCGCUUGGAGCGGCCGAUGUCAGAUUAGGUAGUUGGUGGGGUAAAGGCUCACCAAGCCAACGAUCUGUAGCUGGUCUGAGAGGACGACCAGCCACACGGGGACUGAGACACGGCCCAGACUCCUACGGGAGGCAGCAGUGGGGAAUUUUGGACAAUGGGCGCGAGCCUGAUCCAGCAAUGCCGCGUGCAGGAAGAAGGCCUUCGGGCUGUAAACUGCUUUUGUACGGAACGAAAAGGUCUGGGUUAAUACCCUGGGCACAUGACGGUACCGUAAGAAUAAGCACCGGCUAACUACGUGCCAGCCGCCGCGGUAA